UACGAGGGGGCGAGCGUUGUUCGGAAUUAUUGGGCGUAAAGGGUGCGUAGGCGGUUUGGUAAGUCUUAUGUGAAAUCUACAGGCUCAACUUGUAGUCUGCAUGAGAAACUGCCGGGCUUGAGUAUGGGAGAGGUGAGUGGAAUUCCUGGUGUAGCGGUGAAAUGCGUAGAUAUCAGGAGGAACACCUGUGGCGAAAGCGGCUCACUGGACCAUAACUGACGCUGAUGCACGAAAAGCUAGGGGAGCAAACAGG
rnacentral:rRNA from 1 species